rnacentral:tRNA from 1 species
GGUUGUGGCUCAGAGGUAGAGCGCUCACCUACCACGUGUGGGGCACUGGGUUCGAUCGUCAGCACCA